UUCAAGCGAGCAAUUGGGCUAUAUGGCCUGGUCUUCAUUAUUCAAUCCCCACCAAAACCCUAAUUUCACCUCUUAUUUAUAUCUCUCUCUCUAACCUAUCAACAUAUCUAUCUCUUCACAACGCCGACUUCGUUCUUCGUAUCAGAUGGAAAUCAUAUAGAUGCAAAAACAAUUCUUUAGAUCAGAGCCUCAUGGACAUGCAGGUUCCUUCUAAAUCAGUGGAUUUUUGCGUUUUCUCGUAGGUUCUACAAUUUCUUUCUGAUUUUUUCUCACUAUAUAUUCUUCGAAUCUUGCUCAAUGAUGAUUCAGUUUGCUUUAACCACACCGAAGAGAAACCAAUGUGUUCGAACAUACCUGGAUUUCGUUUAAGAGUUCUUAUUCCAUUUGAUAAGUAAUUUGAAAGUGGAAUCCGUAUAACUUUUGAAUCAAAUCCACUUAGCGUUCAGAUUCAUUGAGAUUCUCAUGUCGAAAACACUGGCCUUUGUCUGAGAGCAAUUUUAAAUCCAUCAAACUGUUUUUUUAAUAAAAUUUUGCCAUUGAUGAUAACACUGAAGGCUUGUUUCUCACAGACAUUCGCAGUGGCCGCCUAAGAUCUUUCGCCUUUCGCCGGGCUUGAGAGAUUGUGCUGUUUUAUCCUUCCUUGGAUGUCUGAGGCAUUCUUGUUUUAUUGUUUUUCUUACAAAUUCUAUUUUAUUAUUUAAAAAAACAUUAUGUUAUUUUUUAUUGCAAAAUGUUUUGUAUGUUCCUAAAAUUAUAUUAUUUUGAAUCAAAAUAAAUGUUGAUGAUGAUAAUCCGAAGGCUUGUUUCUCAAGACAUUCGCAGUGGCCGACUAAGAACUUUCGCCUUCGCCAGGCUUGAGAGUUAAUGCUGCUUUUUUCCUUCCUUGGAUGUCUGAAACUAAUUUACAUAUGUUUUUAAGCUUUUUAUAUUCAUGUAGUUGUAUUUAUGUUAAAUUAACUUCCUUGGAUUUAAUAGUUUAUCUUAAUUUUGAUAUUUAGGUUUUUCGGUUUAAAUAUAUAUCAAAUAUCUGUAAGUAAAUAAGACAAUAGUUUACGAGAUAUGGCGUAUUUUGCACUCAUUAUAUAUUUAAGGCAAUCAUAUUUUAAUGUAAUUUCGAUUAACUCUGUUUCUAGUUAAUAUUUUGUGUUUUGUA